rnacentral:rRNA from 1 species
UACGGAGGGUGCAAGCGUUAUCCGGAUUCACUGGGUUUAAAGGGUGCGUAGGUGGCUUGGUAAGUCAGUGGCGAAAGCCCGGAGCUCAACUCCGGAACUGCCAUUGAUACUGCUUAGCUUGAAUCAGGUCGAGGUGGAUGGAAUAUUACAUGUAGCGGUGAAAUGCUUAGAUAUGUAAUAGAACACCGAUUGCGAAGGCAGUUCACUAGGCCUGUAUUGACACUGAGGCACGAAAGCGUGGGGAUCAAACAGG